ACUCAACGUCACAUUUUUAUGAAGAGUGAGUCUAUACUAUUAGAGCAAGCCGUCUAGAACGGAUCCUCGACCAGUUAGUUAGCUCUAAACUUGUUUUUUAGGAGUUU
rnacentral:sRNA from 1 species